AAUGCGAUCGGUAUUGUCAUUCGAACAGUGGCGAAUUCAUGAAUAUGCGCGUUUUCGUUUCCUGUGAAAGAUUUACGGGUAUUGUAUGAGUAAGAGAAAGAGAAAUAGGAAGAGAGAGAGAGAAAGAGAGAGAGAAAGAGAGAGAGAGAGAGAGAGCAAGCGAGCGCAACGGAGCGAGGAUUACUCGCUUCCUCCUACAUUCAAUGAAAAAUGUCGGAAAUGUGUUUGCGUGCCAUUCAAUGGAGAUAAUCACGGUGUGCCGUUCUUCUUGAUUCGAUAUUCUACUACCGCGAUUUUUUAACUUUCGAUGAGUUAAAAGAGAUAGAUAGAAAGAGAGAAAGAGAAAGAAAGGAAAUGGAGAAAUGAUACUGUCCUUGUCAGUUUGAUAGUAUUUCCCAGAGGGGGAGAGAGAGAGA